rnacentral:rRNA from 1 species
AUUGAACGCUGGCGGCAGGCCUAACACAUGCAAGUCGAACGACUGGCGGACGGGUGAGUACUGUCUGGGAAACUGCCUGAUGGAGGGGGAUAACUACUGGAAACGGUAGCUAAUACCGCAUACCAUCAGAUGUGCCCAGACGGGAUUAGCUAGUUGGUGGGGUAACGGCGUACCAAGGCGACGAUCCCUAGCUGGUCGGAGAGGGUGACCAGCCACACUGGAACUGAGACACGGUCCAGACUCCUACGGGAGGGAGCAGUGGGGAAUAUUGCACAAUGGGAGCAAGCCUGAUACAGCCAUGCCGCGUGUAUGAAGAAGGCCUUCGGGUUGUAAAGUACUUUCAGCGGGGAGGCGUUACCCGAAGAAGAAGCACCGGCUAACUCCGUGCCAGCAGCCGCGGUAAUUC